rnacentral:rRNA from 1 species
UACGGGGGGGGCAAGCGUUGUUCGGAAUUACUGGGCGUAAAGGGCUCGUAGGCGGCCAACUAAGUCCGACGUGAAAUCCCCAGGCUUAACCUGGGAACUGCGUCGGAUACUGGAUGGCUUGAAUUCGGGAGAGGGAUGCAGAAUUCCAGGUGUAGCGGUGAAAUGCGUAGAUAUCUGGAGGAACACCGGUGGCGAAGGCGGCAUCCUGGACCGGCAUUGACGCUGAGGCGCGAAAGCUAGGGGAGCAAACGGG